rnacentral:rRNA from 1 species
GAUGAACGCUGGCGGCGUGCCUAAUACAUGCAAGUCGAGCGAACAGACGAGGAGCUUGCUCCUCUGACGUUAGCGGCGGACGGGUGAGUAACACGUGGAUAACCUACCUAUAAGACUGGGAUAACUUCGGGAAACCGGAGCUAAUACCGGAUAAUAUAUUGAACCGCAUGGUUCAAUAGUGAAAGACGGUUUUGCUGUCACUUAUAGAUGGAUCCGCGCCGCAUUAGCUUGUUGGUAAGGUAACGGCUUACCAAGGCAACGAUGCGUAGCCGACCUGAGAGGGUGAUCGGCCACACUGGAACUGAGACACGGUCCAGACUCCUACGGGAGGCAGCAGUAGGGAAUCUUCCGCAAUGGGCGAAAGCCUGACGGAGCAACGCCGCGUGAGUGAUGAAGGUCUUCGGAUCGUAAAACUCUGUUAUUAGGGAAGAACAAAUGUGUAAGUAACUAUGCACGUCUUGACGGUACCUAAUCAGAAAGCCACGGCUAACUACGUG